rnacentral:rRNA from 1 species
GACGAACGCUGGCGGCGUGCCUAAUACAUGCAAGUCGAACGCUGAAGAGAGGAGCUUACUCUUCUUGGAUGAGUUGCGCACGGGUGAGUAACGCGUAGGUAACCUGCCUUGUAGCGGGGGAUAACUAUUGGAAACGAUAGCUAAUACCGCAUAACAACGGAUGACACAUGUCAUUUAUUUGAAAGGGGCAAUUGCUCCACUACAAGAUGGACCUGCGUUGUAUUAGGUAGUAGGUGAGGUAAUGGCUCACCUAGGCGACGAUACAGAGCCCGCCUGAGAGGGUGGUCAGCCACACUGGGACUGAGACCCGGCCCAGACUGCCACGGGAAGCAGCCAUAGGGAAUCGUCGGGCAUGGGGGGAAACCUGACCGGGCAACGCCGCGGGAGGGAAGAAGGUUUUCGGGUCGUAAAGCUCGGUUGUCAGGCGAGAAAGGGCGUGAGAGUGGAAAGUUCACACUGUGACGGUAGCUGACAAGAAAGCAACGGCUAACUACGUG